AACCAGACUCCUACGGGAGGCAGCAGUGGGGGAUAUUGCACAAUGGGGGAAACCCUGAUGCAGCGACGCCGCGUGGGUGAAGAAGCGCCUCGGCGCGUAAAGCCCUGUCAGCAGGGAAGAAAAUGACGGUACCUGAAGAAGAAGCCCCGGCUAACUACGUGCCAGCAGCCGCGGUAAUACGUAGGGGGCAAGCGUUAUCCGGAUUUACUGGGUGUAAAGGGAGCGUAGGUGGCGUGCCAAGUCAGGAGUGAAAACCCAGGGCCCAACCCUGGGACUGCUCUUGAAACUGGCAGGCUUGAGUGCUGGAGAGGUAAGCGGAAUUCCUAGUGUAGCGGUGAAAUGCGUAGAUAUCAGGAGGAACACCGGUGGCGAAGGCGGCCUGCUGGACUGCAACUGACGUUGAGGCCCGAAAGCGUGGGGAGCAAACAGGAUUAGAUACCCUAGUA
rnacentral:rRNA from 1 species